rnacentral:tRNA from 1 species
GCGGGUGUGGCGGAAUGGCAGACGCGCUGGAUUCAGGAUCCAGUGGGGGAGACCCCGUGCAGGUUCGACUCCUGUCACCCGCA